rnacentral:rRNA from 1 species
AAAGGAAUAGACGGGGGCCCGCACAAGCAGUGGAGUAUGUGGUUUAAUUCGAAGCAACGCGAAGAACCUUACCAGGUCUUGACAUCGAGUGACGAACAUAGAGAUAUGUUUUUCCUUCGGGACACGAAGACAGGUGGUGCAUGGUUGUCGUCAGCUCGUGUCGUGAGAUGUUGGGUUAAGUCCCGCAACGAGCGCAACCCUUAUCAUUAGUUGCUACGCAAGAGCACUCUAGUGAGACUGCCGUUGACAAAACGGAGGAAGGUGGGGAUGACGUCAAAUCAUCAUGCCCCUUAUGACCUGGGCUACACACGUACUACAAUGGCGAUGAAACAGAGGGAAGCAAGACAGCGAUGUGGAGCCAAUCCCAAAAAAUCGCCCCAGUUCAGAUUGCAGGCUGCAACCCGCCUGCAUGAAGUCGGAAUUGCUAGUAAUCGCAGAUCAGCAUGCUGCGGUGAAUACGUUCCCGGGCCUUGUACACACCGCCCGU